UACGUAGGGCGCAAGCGUUGUCCGGAAUUAUUGGGCGUAAAGAGCUCGUAGGUGGCUUGUUGCGUCUGCCGUGAAAGCCCGUGGCUUAACUGCGGGUCUGCGGUGGAUACGGGCAGGCUAGAGGCUGGUAGGGGCAAGCGGAAUUCCUGGUGUAGCGGUGAAAUGCGCAGAUAUCAGGAGGAACACCGGUGGCGAAGGCGGCUCGCUGGGCCAGUUCUGACGCUGAGGAGCGAAAGCGUGGGGAGCGAACAGG
rnacentral:rRNA from 1 species